AAUGAACGCUGGCGGCAUGCCUUACACAUGCAAGUCGAACGGCAGCAUGACCUAGCUUGCUAGGUUGAUGGCGAGUGGCGAACGGGUGAGUAAUGCAUCGGAACGUGCCUUUUAGUGGGGGAUAACGUAGCGAAAGUUACGCUAAUACCGCAUAUUCUCUGAGGAGGAAAGCAGGGGACCUUCGGGCCUUGCGCUAGAAGAGCGGCCGAUGUCGGAUUCGCUAGUUGGUGAGGUAAAGGCUCACCAAGGCAACGAUCCGUAGCGGGUCUGAGAGGAUGAUCCGCCACACUGGGACUGAGACACGGCCCAGACUCCUACGGGAGGCAGCAGUGGGGAAUGUUGGACAAUGGGCGCAAGCCUGAUCCAGCCAUGCCGCGUGAGUGAAGAAGGCCUUCGGGUUGUAAAGCUCUUUCGGCUGGGAAGAAAUCGCACCCUCUAAUACAGGGUGUGGAUGACGGUACCAGCAUAAGAAGCACCGGCUAACUACGUG
rnacentral:rRNA from 1 species